rnacentral:rRNA from 1 species
GACGAACGCUGGCGGCGUGCUUAACACAUGCAAGUCGAACGGAAAGGCCCUGCUUUUGUGGGGUGCUCGAGUGGCGAACGGGUGAGUAACACGUGAGUAACCUGCCCUUGACUUUGGGAUAACUUCAGGAAACUGGGGCUAAUACCGGAUAGGAGCUCCUGCUGCAUGGUGGGGGUUGGAAAGUUUCGGCGGUUGGGGAUGGACUCGCGGCUUAUCAGCUUGUUGGUGGGGUAGUGGCUUACCAAGGCUUUGACGGGUAGCCGGCCUGAGAGGGUGACCGGCGACAUUGGGACUAAGGGACGGACCAGACUCGUACGGGAGGCAGCGGUGGGAAGUAUUGCACAGUGGGCGGAAGCGUGAUGCAGCGACGCCGCGUGCGGGAUGACGGCCUUCGGGGUGUAAACCGCUUUCGCCUGUGACGAAGCGUGAGUGACGGUAAUGGGUAAAGAAGCACCGGCUAACUACGUG